rnacentral:tRNA from 3 species
GGGCGCUUAGCUCAGUUGGCUAGAGCAUCUCGUUUACACCGAGAGGGUCGGGGGUUCGAGCCCCUCAGCGCCCA